CUCAAUCUUGUUUCUGGGCUUUGUACACUUAAACCACUACUACUGCUUGCAGAUUGUGGAGUGAAGAAUCCAACUGGAGAAGAAGAGACUGGACUGGAACUGUACUCUUGCCGUAAGCAACGAUCUGGCUCCGAAGGUAGCUCGUACCGUAGAUAACUACGUGAGGGUGUUGCAGCAACCAGUGGAGAUCCUACACUUAACCCUUUAUUCACUUCGCCAUUCAGUCCACAGGCCUCAAAGUUUUGUCUUAACUCAAUAUUAUCGCAAC
rnacentral:lncRNA from 1 species